rnacentral:rRNA from 1 species
UACGUAGGGCGCAAGCGUUGUCCGGAAUUAUUGGGCGUAAAGAGCUCGUAGGUGGCGUGUCGCGUCUGCCGUGAAAGCCCAUGGCUUAACUGUGGGUCUGCGGUGGAUACGGGCAGGCUGGAGGCUGGUAGGGGCAAGCGGAAUUCCUGGUGUAGCGGUGAAAUGCGCAGAUAUCAGGAGGAACACCGGUGGCGAAGGCGGUCUGCUGGGCCAGUUCUGACGCUGAGGAGCGAAAGCGUGGGGAGCGAACAGG